rnacentral:lncRNA from 1 species
AUGUGUGUCUGUGUGUUUCAUGUGUGUGGUGUUUCGUGUGUGGGGGUUGUUUCAAAUGUGUGUGUUUCAUGUGUGUGUGUGUGUUCAUGUGUGUGUGUUUCGUGUGGUGUGUUUCAAAUGUGUGUUUCGUGUGUUGGGUGUGUGUGUUUCAAAUGUGUGUGUUCGUGUGUGUGUGUGUGUUUCAUGUGUGUGUGUGUUUCAUGUGUAUGUGUUUCAAAUGUGUGUGUGUGUUCAUGUGUGUGUGUUUCAUGUGUAUGUGUUUCAAAUGUGUGUGUGUGUUUCAUGUGUGUGUGUGUUCGUGUGUGUGUGUGUUCAUGUGUAUGUGUUUCAAAUGGUGUGUGUGGUUUCAUGUGUGUGUGUUUCAUGGUAUGUGUGUUUCAUGUGUGUGUGUGUUUCAUGUGUGUGUCUGUUUCAUGUGUGUGUGUUUCAUGUGUAUGUGUGUUUCAUGUGUGUGUGUGUUUCAUGUGUGUGUGUGUUUCAUGUGUAUGUGUUUCAAAUGUGUGUGUGUGUGUUUCAUGUGUGUGUGUUUCAAAUGUGUGUGGGUGUUCAUGUGUAUGUGUUUCAUGUGUAUGUGUUUCAAAUGUGUGUGUGUGUUUUAAAUGUGUGUCGUGUGUUUCAUGUGUGUGUUUCGUGUGUGUGGUGUUUAAUGUGUGUUUUCAUGUGUGGUGUGUGUUUCAUGUGUGUGUGUGUGUCGUGUGUGUUCAAAUGUGUGUGUUCAUGUGUGUGUGGUGUGUGUGGGUGUGUGUUUCAAAGCGUAAGCGUAAACUGCGUCGACAGACAUGUGUUCGUUGUGAGCAGGACACUUGUGUAGGAGUAUUACACUGUAGUACUACUACGGUACUACAACAGUACUACGACAGUACUACUGCAGUACCACUACAGUACUACGACAGCACUACGGCAGUACUACGACAGUACUACGACAGUACUACUGCAGUACCACUACAGUACUACGACAGCACUACGGCAGUACUACACAGUACUACGACAGUACUAAUCAGUACGCGACUACUGCAGUACCACUACAGUACUACGACAGCACUACGGCAGUACUACGGCAGUACUACGACAGCACUACGGCAGUACUACGACAGCACUACGACAGUACUACGGCAGCACUACGACAGCACUACGACAGCACUACGACAGCACUACGACAGCACUACGGCAGUACUACGACAGUACUACGACAGUACUACUGCAGUACCACUACAGUACUACGACAGCACUACGGCAGUACUACGACAGUACUACGACAGCACUACGGCAGUACUACGACAGUACUACGACAGUACUACGGCAGCACUACGACAGCACUACGACAGCACUACGACAGCACUACGGCAGUACUACGACAGCACUACGACAGCACUACGGCAGUACUACGGCAGUACUACGACAGCACUACGACAGCACUACGGCAGUACUACGACAGCACUACGGCAGUACUACGACAGUACUACUGCAGUACUACGACAGCACUACGGCAGUACUACGACAGUACUACGACAGUACUACUGCAGUACCACUACAGUACUACGACAGCACUACGGCAGUACUACGACAGUACUACGACAGUACUACUGCAGUACCACUACAGUACUACGACAGCACUACGGCAGUACUACGACAGCACUACGGCAGUACUACGGCAGUACUACUACAGUACUACUGCAGUAG